rnacentral:rRNA from 1 species
UUUAUACAACGAAGAGCUUGAUCCUGGCUCAGGAUGAACGCUAGCGGCAGGCCUAACACAUGCAAGUCGAACGGUAACAUGAGAGCUUGCUCUUGAUGACGAGUGGCGCACGGGUGCGUAACGCGUAUGCAAUCUACCUAUAACUGAGGAAUAGCCCAGAGAAAUUUGGAUUAAUACCUCAUAAUAAUAUUUUUUGGCAUCAUUAAGUAUUUAAAACUCCGGUGGUUAUAGAUGAGCAUGCGUUCUAUUAGUUUGUUGGUGAGGUAAGAGCUCACCAAGACUACGAUAGAUAGGGGGCCUGAAAGGGUGAUCCCCCACACUGGUACUGAGACACGGACCAGACUCCUACGGGAGGCAGCAGUGAGGAAUAUUGCACAAUGGAGGAAACU